rnacentral:tRNA from 1 species
UCCAGGGUAGCCUAGUGGACAUGGCAUCUGCCCCGUAAGCAGAACACUGUGGGUUCGAUUCCCAUCCCUGGAC